GAUGAACGCUGGCGGCGUGCCUAAUACAUGCAAGUCGAGCGAACGGACGAGAAGCUUGCUUCUCUGAUGUUAGCGGCGGACGGGUGAGUAACACGUGGAUAACCUACCUAUAAGACUGGUAUAACUUCGGGAAACCGGAGCUAAUACCGGAUAAUAUUUUGAACCGCAUGGUUCAAAAGUGAAAGACGGUCUUGCUGUCACUUAUAGAUGGAUCCGCGCUGCAUUAGCUAGUUGGUAAGGUAACGGCUUACCAAGGCAACGAUGCAUAGCCGACCUGAGAGGGGGAUCGGCCACCCUGGAACUGGGACACGGUCCAGACUCCUACGGGAGGCAGCAGUAGGGAAUCGGCCGCAAUGGGGGGAAGCCUGACGGAGCAGCGCCGCGUGAGUGAUGAAGGUCUUCGGAUCGUAAAACUCUGUUAUUAGGGAAGAACAUAUGUGUAAGUAACUGUGCACAUCUUGACGGUACCUAGUCAGAAAGCCACGGCUAACUACGUG
rnacentral:rRNA from 1 species